CUGCACAGAGUGUAGACCAGACAUACAGAGCAGCACAACACACAGUGUGUAGACCAGACAUACAGAUCAGCACUACACACACAGUGUAGUCCAGACAUACAGAGCAGCACUACACACAGAGUAUAGACCAGACAUACAGAGCAGCACUACACACAGAGUGUAGACCAGACAUACAGAGCAGCACUACACACAGAGCAGCACUACACACAGAGUGUAGACCAGACAUACAGAGCAGCACUACACACAGAGUGUAGACCAGACAUACAGAGCAGCACAACACAGAGUGUAGACCAGACAUACAGAGCAGCACUACACACAGAGCAGCACUAUACAGAGUGUAGACCAGACAUACAGAGCAGCACUACACAGAGUGUAGACCAGACAUAUAGAGCAGCACUACACACAGGAUGUAGACCAGACAUACAGAGCAGCACUACACACAAGAAGUGUAGACCAGACAUACAGAGCAGCACUACACACAGAGUGUAGACCAGACAUACAGAGCAGCACUACACACAGAGAGUGUAGACCAGACAUACAGAGCAGCACUACACACAGAGUGUAGACCAGACAUACAGAGCAGCACUACACACAGAGUGUAGACCAGACAUACAGAGCAGCACUACACACAGAGAGUGUAGACCAGACAUACAGAGCAGCACUACACACAGAGCAGCACUACACACAGAGUAUAGACCAGACAUACAGAGCAGCACUACACACAGACAGACAGGGGCCCUGUGCUCUUUCAGGAAGUUGCACUGAUCCAAUCACUGAUGCAUUUUGUUCGUAUCUUAUGAUUAACUUGGGCAAAUUAAUCCAUUUCAUAAUUUUCACUAUGAAAAUGUUUGCACUCACUACUGUAAGUCGCUAUGGAUAAGAGUGUCUGCUAAAUGACAAUAAUACAGUAAGCUUUCUUGAAUUUGUUCUGUAUUUGGGGACUGUGAAAAGACCCCUGGUGGCAUGUCUGGUGGGGUAAGUGUGUGUGUCGGAUCUGUGUGUAGUUGACAAUGUAAAAAAUGUGGGAUCUAACACAAUCUAUAUAUUUUUUAUUUAACUAGGCAAGUCAAUUAAAAACUAAUUCUUAUUUACAAUGACGGCCUGGGAUAAAAAAAUGUAAAUGUUUUUAAAUAUAUAAAUAUAGGACAAAAGACACUUCUUAUAAGAAGAAGUGAUGCAGUCAGUCUUUCCUCAACUCUUAGCCAAGAGAGACUGGCAUCCAUAGUAUUAAUAUCAGCCCUCUGAUUACAAUGACGAGCAAGACGUCCCGCUCUGUUCUGGACCAGCUGCAGCUUAACUAGGUCUUUCCUUGCAGCACUGGACCACACGACUGGACAAUAAUCAAGAUUAGACAAAACUAGAGCCUGCAGGACCUGCUUUUUACAGUGUGGUGUCAAAAAAGCAAAGCAUCCCUUUAUUACGGCCAGACCUCUCCCCAUCUUUACAACCAUUGAAUCUGUAUGUUUUGACCAUUAGAGUUUACAAUCUAAGGUAACGCCAAGUAAUUUAGUCUCCUCAACUUGUUCAACAGCCACACCAUUCAUUACCAGAUUCAGCUGAGGUCUAGAACUCUAGGAAGGAUUUGUACCAAAUACAACGCUCUUAGUUUUAGAGAUGUUCAGGACCAGUUUAUUACUGGCCACCCAUUCCAAAACAGACCUCAACUCUUUAAGGUUUUCAGUGACUUCAUUAGCUGUGGUUGCUGAUGCGUCUGUGGUUGAAUCAUCAGCAUACAUGGACACACAGGCUUUGUUUAAUGUAGAGGUCGACCGAUUAUGAUUUCUCAACGCCGAUACUGAUUUAUUGGAGGACCAAAAAAAGCCAAUACCGACUAAUCGGACGAAUUAAAAAAUAAAUAAUAAUAAUUAUGUAUUUUUUUUUAUAUAUAUAUAUAUGUGUAAUAAUUACAACACUACUGAAUGAACAAUGAACACUUUUUUAUUUUAACUUAAUAUAAUACAUAACUAAAAUCAAUUUAGUCUCAAAUAAAUAAUGAGGCAUUUUCAAUUUGGUUUAAAUAAUGCAAAAACACAGUGUUGGAGAAGAAAGUAAAAGUGCAAUAUGUGCCAUGUAAAAAAGCUAACGUUUAAGUUCCUCGCUCAGAACAUGAGAACAUAUGAAAGCUGGUGGUUCCUUUUAACAUGAGUCUUCAAUAUUCCCAGGUAAGAAGUUUUAGGUUGUAGUUAUUAGAGUAAUCAUAGGUCUAUUUCUCUCUAUACCAUUUGUAUUCCAUAUACCUUUGACUAUUGGAAUGUUCUUACAGGCACUUUAGUAUUGCCAGCCUAAUUCUGGGAGUUGAUAGGCUUGAAGUCAUAAACAGGGCUGUGCAUCCCAGCAUUGCUAAGAGCUGCUGUUUAAAUGAAUGCUUACGAGCCUGCUGCAGACUGCUCUAUCAAAUAUCAAAUCAUAGACUUAAUUAUAAUAAACACAGAAAUAUGAGCCUUAAGUCAUUAAUAUGGUCAAAUCCAGAAACUAUCAUUU
rnacentral:lncRNA from 1 species